rnacentral:rRNA from 1 species
GGCUUAGAAGCAGCCACACAUUCAAAGAGUGCGUAAUAGCUCACUGGUCGAGUGAUCCAGCGCCGAAAAUGUAACGGGGCUAAAACGCGACACCGAAGCAGCGGGAUGCGUAAGCAUCGGUAGAGGAGCAUUGUGUGAGGGUUGAAGCCAGAGCGGGAGCACUGGUGGACUUCACAGAAGAGAGAAUGCCGGUAUGAGUAGCGAGACCCAUGCGAGAAACAUGGGCGUCGAAGGCCCAAGGUUUCCUGGGGAAGGUUCAUCCACCCAGGGUAAGUCGGGACCUAAGCCGAGGACUGAGGUCGUAGGCGAUGGACAGCAGGUAGAGAUUCCUGCACCACUUAUACUUGUUUGACGAAGCAGUGACACAGAAGGAUAGGACGAGCGCGGUGAUGGUCAACCGCGUAGGCGGCACGAGGCCGGGAAGCAGUGAAGUACACUUCCCGCAAAGGCUGAGUGUUGACAGGACCGAAAAGAAGUAGGGAAGCGUCCGAGUUCACGCUGGCGAGAAAAGCUGCUAAGGAGAGUGUGAGUGCCCGUACCGGAAACCGACGCAGGUGGGCGAGGAGAGAAUCCUGAGACGGACGGGAGAACUCUUGUUAAGGAACUCGGCAAAAUGACCCCGUAACUUCGGGAGAAGGGGUGCCUCGAAAGAGGCCGCAGAGAAUAGUCACAAGCGACUGUUUAGCAAAAACACAGGUAUCUGCGAAAGCGAGAGCUGACGUAUAGGUGCUGACACCUGCCCGGUGCUGGAAGGUUAAGGGAACAUGUUAGAGCAAUCGAAGCAUCGAACCGAAGCCCCAGUAAACGGCGGCCGUAACUAUAACGGUCCUAAGGUAGCGAAAUUCCUUGUCGGGUAAGUUCCGACCCGCACGAAUGGCGUAACGACUUGUGAGCUGUCUCAACAGGAGGCCCGGUGAAAUUGAAGUAUGUGUGAAGAUGCACAUUACCCGCGACUGGACGGAAAGACCCCGUAGAGCUUUACUGUAACCUGACAUUGGAUCUUGAUAACGGAUGCACAGGAUAGGUGGGACGCUGGGAGACGAGGACUUUGGUUUUCGUGGAGCGGCCGUUGGGAUACCACUCUUCUGUUAUUGAGAUUCUAACCUCAAGCCGUGAGCCGGAUGAGAGACAGUGUCAGGCGGACAGUUUGACUGGGGCGGUCGCCUCCGAAAGAGUAACGGAGGCGCCCAAAGGUACCCUCAGAAUGGAUGGAAACCAUUCGAAGAGAGCAAAGUCAGAAGGGUGCUUGACUGCGAGACCAACAAGUCGAGCAGGUACGAAAGUAGGGCUUAGUGAUCCGGCGGUAAGAGAGUGGAAUUGCCGUCGCUCAACGGAUAAAAGCUACCUCGGGGAUAACAGGCUGAUCUCCCCCAAGAGUUCACAUCGACGGGGAGGUUUGGCACCUCGAUGUCGGCUCAUCGCAUCCUGGGGCUGUAUUCGGUCCCAAGGGUUUGGCUGUUCGCCAAUUAAAGCGGCACGCGAGCUGGGUUCAGAACGUCGUGAGACAGUUCGGUCCCUAUCCAUCGUGGGCGAAGGACACAUGAGAGGAGCUGCUCCUAGUACGAGAGGACCGGAGUGGACGCAUCACUGGUGCAACUGUUGUCGUGCCAACGGCACAGCAGGGAAGCGAAAUGCGGACGGGAUAAACGCUGAAGGCAUCUAAGCGUGAAGCCCACCUCAAGAAUAAGUGUCCCAUUCGAAAGAAGUAAGACCCCUGGAAGACUACCAGGUGAUAGGUCAUCGGUGAAAGAGUGGUAACAUUUGGAGCUUGAUGAUACUAAUCGGUCGAGGACUUGAUCUA